rnacentral:tRNA from 1 species
UCCUCAUUAGUACAGUGGUGAGUAUCCCCGCCUGUCACGCAGGAGACCAGAGUUCGAUUCCCCGACGGGGAG